ensembl:misc_RNA 7SK 7SK RNA
GGAUGUGAGGGCUAUCUGGCUGUGACAUCUGUCAUCCCAUGAUCACCAGGGUUGAUUCGGCUGAUCUGGCUGGCUAGGUAGGAUUCCCCUUCCUCCCUCACCGCCUCAUGUGCUUCCCUCUAUGUACGUCCCUCCCGAAGCUGUGCGCUCAGUCCAAGAGGACGGCCUUCCCUGAAUAGAGACUGACCAGUCUUUGGUCAAGGGUAUAUGAGUAGCUGCGCUCCCCUGCUAGAACCUCCAAACAAGCUCUCGUGGUUCAUAAAAGUGAUGGCGCUUGUAAGCUUAUAAAUACUAAAACAUAGAGAUAAUCCCAGGGAGUUUU